rnacentral:lncRNA from 1 species
UAAUUGUCAGGCCACCUUAAGCCACAGUACGGAAGAAGCUGUGCUGCCUGUGAGCCCCGUCCAAGGACGUUAAAAGAAGAAGUCAGGCCCUAAAGCCACGGUUUGAGCAAACCGUGCUGCCUGUAGCUCCGUCGUGGGGACGUAAAACCUGGGAGGCUGCAAACUGUGGAAGCUGUACGCACGGUGUAGCAGACUAGCGGUUAGAGGAGACCCCUCCCAUGACACAACGCAGCAGCGGGGCCCGAGCACCGAGGGAAGCUGUACCUCCUUGCAAAGGACUAGAGGUUAGAGGAGACCCCCCGCAAACAAAAACAGCAUAUUGACGCUGGGAGAG